UUUCCGGUUGAUCCCGCCGGACCCCACUGCUAUCGGGAUGGGACUAAGACAUGCUAGUCGAGCGCUUUCAAGCUAUGUUGGGGGCGCGGCGCACAGCUCAAUAACACGUGGCUAACCUGCCCUUGGGAUAGGGACAACCCCGGGAAACUGGGGCUAAUCCCCAAUAGGCGAAGGCUCCUGGAAUGGAUCUUCACCCGAAAGGAAUCUAGAUCAUGCUUCUAGGUGUCGCCCAAGGAUGGGGCCGCGGCCGAUCAGGUUGUUGGUGAGGUAAUGGCCCACCAAGCCUUUUACCGGUGCGGGCCGUGAGAGCGGGAGCCCGGAGAUGGGCACUGAGACAAGGGCCCAGGUCCUACGGGGCGCAGCAGUCGCGAAACCUUUGCAAUACACGCAAGUGUGACAGGGCCAUCCCGAGUGCCGACCGCUGAGGUUGGCUUUUAAUCAGUCUAGAAAGCUGGGAGAAUAAGGAGAGGGCAAGUCUGGUGUCAGCCGCCGCGGUAAUACCAGCUCUCCGAGUGGUGUGGACGUUUAUUGGGCCUAAAGCAUCCGUAGCUGGCUGAACAAGUCCCCUGUUAAACCCAACGAUUUAAUCGUUGGCUUGCGGGGGAAACUGCUCGGCUAGGAGACGGGAGAGGCAGACGGUAUUCUCGGGGUAGGGGUGAAAUCCUAUAAUCCCGAGAAGACCACCAGUGGCGAAGGCUGUCUGCUAGAACGCGCUCGACGGUGAGGGAUGAAAGCUGGGGGAGCGAACCGGACUAGAUACCCGGGUAGUCCCAGCUGUAAACGAUGCAGGCUAGGUGUUUGGACGGCCACGUGCCGUUCUAGUGCCGCAGGGAAGCUGUUAAGCCUGCCGCCUGGGGAGUACGAUCGCAAGAUUGAAACUUAAAGGAAUUGGCGGGGGAGCACCACAAGGGGUGAAGCUUGCGGUUUAAUUGGAUUCAACGCCGGA
rnacentral:rRNA from 1 species